GUGCUCACUUCACAGCACAUGUACUCAAAUUGGAACAAUACAGAGAAGAUGAGUAUAUAGCCCCUUUGCAAGAAUAACAUACAAAUCUGCGAAGUGUAAAACAUAAAU